rnacentral:rRNA from 1 species
GACGAACGCUGGCGGCGUGCUUAACACAUGCAAGUCGAACGGAAAGGCCCUGCUUUUGUGGGGUGCUCGAGUGGCGAACGGGUGAGUAACACGUGAGUAACCUGCCCUUGACUUUGGGAUAACUUCAGGAAACUGGGGCUAAUACCGGAUAGGAGCUCCUGCUGCAUGGUGGGGGUUGGAAAGUUUCGGCGGUUGGGGAUGGACUCGCGGCUUAUCAGCUUGUUGGUGGGGUAGUGGCUUACCAAGGCUUUGACGGGUAGCCGGCCUGAGAGGGUGACCGGCCACAUUGGGACUGAGAUACGACCCAGACUCCUACGGGAGGCAGCAGUGGGGAAUAUUGCACAAUGGGCGGAAGCCUGAUGCAGCAACGCCGGGUGCGGGAUGACGGCCUUCGGGUUGUAAACCGCGUUCGCCUGGAACGAAGCGUGAGUGACGGUAAUGGGUAAAGAAGCACCGGCUAACUACGUG